rnacentral:rRNA from 1 species
GACGAACGCUGGCGGCGUGCCUAAUACAUGCAAGUUGAGCGCUGAAGGUUGGUACUUGUACCGACUGGAUGAGCAGCGAACGGGUGAGUAACGCGUGGGGAAUCUGCCUUUGAGCGGGGGACAACAUUUGGAAACGAAUGCUAAUACCGCAUAAAAACUUUAAACACAAGUUUUAAGUUUGAAAGAUGCAAUUGCAUCACUCAAAGAUGAUCCCGCGUUGUAUUAGCUAGUUGGUGAGGUAAAGGCUCACCAAGGCGAUGAUACAUAGCCGACCUGAGAGGGUGAUCGGCCACAUUGGGACUGAGACACGGCCCAAACUCCUACGGGAGGCAGCAGUAGGGAAUCUUCGGCAAUGGACGAAAGUCUGACCGAGCAACGCCGCGUGAGUGAAGAAGGGUGUCGGAUCGUAAAACUCGGUUGGUAGAGAAGAACGUUGGUGAGAGUGGAAAGCUCAUCAAGUGACGGUAACUACCCAGAAAGGGACGGCUAACUACGUG